CUUGUCUUUACCCAUAUGUCUCACUUCCUCAAUUCCAACUCUCUCCUUGACCCUCUUCAAUCUGGCUUCCACCCUCUCUACUCUACUGAGACUGCUCUUAUCAAAAUUACUAGCGACCUAAUCACAGCUAAAUCCAAAGGCCACUAUUCUAUACUAAUUCUUCUUAGGUCUCUGCUGCCUUUGACACUGUUGAUCAUGCUCUACUUCUUCAAAC